AAAGGAAUAGACGGGGGCCCGCACAAGCGGAGGAACAUGUGGUUUAAUUCGAUGAUACGCGAGGAACCUUACCUGGGCUUAAAUGCACGGUGCAUGUUGUGGAAACACACUUCCCUUCGGGGCUUCGUGCAAGGUGCUGCAUGGUUGUCGUCAGCUCGUGCCGUGAGGUGUCGGGUUAAGUCCCAUAACGAGCGCAACCCUUACCGUUAGUUGCCAUCAGGUUAAGCUGGGGACUCUAGCGGGACUGCCACCGUAAGGUGUGAGGAAGGUGGGGAUGACGUCAAAUCAGCACGGCCCUUAUGUCCAGGGCUACACACGUGUUACAAUGGCCGGUACAGAGGGCAGCUACCUGGUGACAGGGUGCUAAUCUUCAAAGCCGGUCUCAGUUCGGAUUGGAGUCUGCAAUUCGACUCCAUGAAGUAGGAUUCGCUAGUAAUCGCGCAUCAGCCACGGCGCGGUGAAUACGUUCCCGGGCCUUGUACACACCGCCCGU
rnacentral:rRNA from 1 species